rnacentral:rRNA from 1 species
AGAGUUUGAUCAUGGCUCAGGACGAACGCUGGCGGCGUGCUUAACACAUGCAAGUCGAACGGAAAGGCCCUUCGGGGUACUCGAGUGGCGAACGGGUGAGUAACACGUGGGUGAUCUGCCCUGCACUCUGGGAUAAGCCUGGGAAACUGGGUCUAAUACCGGAUAGGACCGCAUGCUUCAUGGUGUGUGGUGCAAAGCUUUUGCGGUGUGGGAUGAGCCCGCGGCCUAUCAGCUUGUUGGUGGGGUAAUGGCCUACCAAGGCGACGACGGGUAGCCGGCCUGAGAGGGUGACCGGCCACACUGGGACUGAGAUACGGCCCAGACUCCUACGGGAGGCAGCAGUGGGGAAUAUUGCACAAUGGGCGCAAGCCUGAUGCAGCGACGCCGCGUGGGGGAUGAAGGUCUUCGGAUUGUAAACCCCUUUCGGGAGGGAAGAUGGAGUGGGUAACCACUUGGACGGUACCUCCAGAAGCAGCCACGGCUAACUUCGUGCCAGCAGCCGCGGUAAUACGAAGGUGGCAAGCGUUGUUCGGAUUCACUGGGCGUACAGGGAGCGUAGGCGGUUGGGUAAGCCCUCCGUGAAAUCUCCGGGCCUAACCCGGAAAGUGCAGAGGGGACUGCUCAGCUAGAGGAUGGGAGAGGAGCGCGGAAUUCCCGGUGUAGCGGUGAAAUGCGUAGAGAUCGGGAGGAAGGCCGGUGGCGAAGGCGGCGCUCUGGAACAUUUCUGACGCUGAGGCUCGAAAGCGUGGGGAGCAAACAGGAUUAGAUACCCCGGUAGUCCAA